rnacentral:rRNA from 1 species
ACGCUCGACACCUACUGGAGGCAGCAGUGGGGAAUAUUGCACAAUGGGGGAAACCCUGAUGCAGCGACGCCGCGUGAGUGAAGAAGUAUUUCGGUAUGUAAAGCUCUAUCAGCAGGGAAGAAGAUGACGGUACCUGAGUAAGAAGCCCCGGCUAACUACGUGCUAGCAGCCGCGGUAAUCUGAGGCGGGCUGGCAAGGC